rnacentral:rRNA from 1 species
UACGAAGGGGCUAGCGUUGUUCGGAAUUACUGGGCGUAAAGCGCACGUAGGCGGCUUUGUAAGUUAGAGGUGAAAGCCCGGAGCUCAACUCCGGAACUGCCUUUAAGACUGCAUCGCUUGAAUCAUGGAGAGGUUAGUGGAAUUCCGAGUGUAGAGGUGAAAUUCGUAGAUAUUCGGAGGAACACCAGUGGCGAAGGGCGGCUCACUGGCUCGGUACGUGACGCUGAGGUGGCGAAAAGCGUGGGGAGCAAACAGG